rnacentral:lncRNA from 1 species
UGAUUGGACAAUGUUGAAUGCUUCAUGACACCAAUUAUAUAAUAGAUGUUCUUGUAUGCUGCUAUAUAAGUAACUCUUACGUGUUAUAACAAAUUUUCUCCACUAUUUAUACCAUUCUUUUUAUUACUCUUUCUUAUUUACGGACAUCAAUUCAAUAUUUGAUGCUAGUUAAACAACACAUUGCUAAUACACUCAAUUACCAACCAUUAACUCAAAAAAAAAGAUGUCAGCAAAUAUUUUCUUAACAAUGGUGUCCACCAAAAUCCUUAUCCAUUUAAAUAAAAAUAUAAAUUCCUCUUUUCGUGAACAGCAACCUUUUACAACCUUUAAUUAUGUCAUUAACAAGGAAACAAGUUUUGAGCCAAUGGCCUUUGACCUGUUGUCACUGUAACCCUUUUUUUUUAAUUUAGACCUUUUCUGUGAUUUCAAAAAAAGUACAAUUGAUGAAGUGUUAGCCUGUAAAUAACGAUUAGGCUGCUAAAUUAUAAAAAUAGCAAGUUUUUUAAAAACUUUUAUAAACUGAUAGUACAUGUAUAUAAAAAAAAAACAGACCUAAAAGUCUUCAUUUCUCAAUUAAAAAGCUGCUUUGUUG